rnacentral:tRNA from 1 species
AAGCGCGUUCUACAGAUUGGACCCCUCCCUUCACACGGGAGAGGUCGUAGGUUCAAUCCCUACAGCGCCCACCA